rnacentral:rRNA from 1 species
UACGUAGGGGGCUAGCGUUGUCCGGAUUUAUUGGGCGUAAAGAGCGUGUAGGCGGCCAGGUAGGUCCGCUGUGAAAGUCCGAGGCUCAACCUCGGAAUGUCGGCGGAAACCCUCUGGCUAGAGUCCGGAAGAGGAGAGUGGAAUUCCCGGUGUAGCGGUGAAAUGCGCAGAUAUCGGGAGGAACACCGGUGGCGAAGGCGGAUCUCUGGGCCAUUACUGACGCUGAGGAGCGAAAGCGUGGGGAGCGAACAGG